UACGGGGGGGGGCUAGCGUUGUUCGGAAUUACUGGGCGUAAAGGGCGCGUAGGCGGUCUGCUAAGUUGGAUGUGAAAACUCUGGGCUUAACCCAGAGCCUGCAUUCAAUACUGACAGGCUAGAGUUCUGGAGGGGAUAGCGGAAUUCCUGGUGUAGCGGUGAAAUGCGUAGAUAUCAGGAGGAACACCGGUGGCGAAGGCGGCUAUCUGGACAGAGUCUGACGCUGAGGCGCGAAAGCUAGGGGAGCGAACAGG
rnacentral:rRNA from 1 species